rnacentral:sRNA from 1 species
GCCAGGCAUGGUGGUGCAUACCUGUAAUCCCAGCAACUCGGGAGGCUGAGGCAGGAGGAUCGUGAAUUCAAAGCCAGUCUCAGCAAAAGCAAGGCGCUAAGCAACUCAGUGAGACCCUGUCUCUA